AUCUUUUUGUAGUUCAUAAGUGUGAUGAUUGGGUGCUCAUGCUUUUGCAUGAGAUGUGCCUCCCACAAACCUUGUUACGACAUCCGCACAUUACCCGUCUGACA
ensembl:snoRNA